GCGGCCAGGGCCGCCAUGUGCCUGGUGUGCGGCCGGGUGCGUUGCGAUGGGAGACCCACCUAGACCCGGCCCUGGUGGCCAUGGGACGCAGCGACUCAGUCAGGAAAAGGGCAGGCGGUCGGAGAGGGGAAGUCGAGGUGGCUGAAACAACGCUGCCCCGCGGAGAUCGCGGGCCUCAAGGGACUGCCCUCCCAUCCUCCAUCCCCGCAAGGACUAAGGCCAAGCCGCGGCAGCCGCAGCCGCCGCCCCCUCUCCUCUCGUCCCCGGUCCCGGAGGCUCUGGGGUGCUGCCGCCACUGCAACUUUCUCCUGUGAUACCCCCUCUUUGUUAUGGAGCAGCUGAUCCGCUGACAUCACCCGGCGCCGGUGCGCUCCCUCCCUCGUUGAUUGACAGUUCCCUGUCCUUUCCCAGAAGUGAGGAUCCUUAGAACCCAAGGUGCUCCGGAGCUGCGCCGCCUCUUAAGACCAGGCAGUGGGCAGACCAGGCGGCGUUUACCUUUUGGCUUGGUUCACUGUUCGCCAGCCACGCGGUCCAGGUCGCCGCCGGCUGUUCGCUAGCGCCGGGGGCCUCGAGGGUACCCGCCUGGGGUGGGUGAGGGGCUCAGAGCACCUGAUACCCCACGAUGUGCCACCAGGGACUUGGAAGUGCGUCAUGCUGGGUGUUCCUACCACUAUCUCACUCCUGGACAGCUGGAGCGCACUCGGAACUAAGGAAGCCUUUGGUUCCUGAGCUUCUACUUCCUCUUGCCCUCGAGCCCCACUUCACUCGGCUCGCUACUGCCCAGAGUUGCAAAGUGCGGCGGGCCCAGGAGCGCAGGUGCCCCGUCCCCCUUCCACUGCCCAGCGCUGCCUCCACAAGCCAGUUCCCUCGACUCCAGGGGGCGUCCUGCGUCCUGGAUUCCUCCCGACUGAACGUCCUACCCAGGAGUCCCCAGUCUCCAUCUUCUUUCGCAUCUCCAGGCCCCUAGAGAGAUCCAGGAAUUCAGCAAACCCAAAUGGCAGCAGGCUGCAGAUGCUCAUCUCCUUCAGUUACUAGACAAUAAAAACGAUGAAAACCGAAGGAAGAAGCAAAAAUAAAUUUAUUUCUUUACUGAAAGAAGAGGAGAAUGUCCUCUUGGAGGAGUGCGGUUAGCCCCGGUGUUAGGAGCAGCCUACCUGUGUCAAGAGCCUUUCCAUGUGCUGCUUUGAGAGUGUUUGGAACCGGCGCCCAUUCCCUGCCUCUACAGAAAUGGAUCUCGAAUGUGCCUAGAAGGAUCUGGGGCUGAGGCCGCCACUACUCCUAGCCCCUUGAUGAUUCAGGAAUGCCUCUACUGGCUGAGCACGCCCUCCGUCCCUCAGUGAUCCAGUCAGACAGGAAUUCAUCACUGAGCCACUACUCCGGACUCCCAGCUCCUAGCUCAUGUCCCUGCAGUGUAUCCAGUAAACUAAAUUUAGACCCUCGGGGACAACAGAGAAGGAGCCAUGUGGCCCAGAUCUCUGUCUUCGUGUGCGGUGGGCUAUAUGACAUGCUUGCCUUCUCCGAUCUGAAAACCUAGGCUAGAUUUGGGUCUAGUGAAACAACUUGGGGGUUGGGGAAAAGGCUACAAUCGGAAACUGCGCAUUUCUGUAACAAUAACUUCAGACAAAGUAAGAUGAAGAGGUUUGAAAAAUAAAUACAAUUGCCAUGAAAACCAAA
rnacentral:lncRNA from 1 species